rnacentral:rRNA from 1 species
UACAGAGGUCUCAAGCGUUGUUCGGAUUCAUUGGGCGUAAAGGGUGCGUAGGCGGCGCGGUAAGUCGGGUGUGAAAUCUCGGAGCUUAACUCCGAAACUGCAUUCGAUACUGCCGUGCUUGAGGACUGGAGAGGAGACUGGAAUUUACGGUGUAGCGGUGAAAUUCGUAGAUAUUCGCAAGAACACCAGUGGCGAAGGCGGCUCACUGGCCCGAUACUGACGCUGAGGUGCGAAAGCGUGGGGAGCAAACAGG